GUGCUCGUUUCAGCAGCACAUGUACUAAAAUUGGAACGAUACAGAGAAGAUUAGCAUGGCCCCUACACAAGGAUGACAGGCAAAUUUGUGAAGCAUUCCAUAUUUUU
rnacentral:snRNA from 1 species